UGAGGAAUAUUGGUCAAUGGACGGAAGUCUGAACCAGCCAAGUAGCGUGCAGGAUGACGGCCCUAUGGGUUGUAAACUGCUUUUGUAUGGGGAUAAAGUUAGGGACGUGUCCCUAUUUGCAGGUACCAUACGAAUAAGGACUGGCUAAUUCCGUGCCAGCAGCCGCGGUAAUACGGAAGGUCCAGGCGUUAUCCGGAUUUAUUGGGUUUAAAGGGAGCGUAGGCUGGAGAUUAAGUGUGUUGUGAAAUGUAGACGCUCAACGUCUGAAUUGCAGCGCAUACUGGUUUCCUUGAGUACGCACAACGUUGGCGGAAUUCGUCGUGUAGCGGUAAAAUGCUUAGAUAUGACGAAGAACUCCGAUUGCGAAGGCAGCUGACGGGAGCGCAACUGACGCUUAAGCUCGAAGGUGCGGGUAUCAAACAGG
rnacentral:rRNA from 1 species